rnacentral:rRNA from 1 species
AUUGAACGCUGGCGGCAGGCCUAACACAUGCAAGUCGAGCGGUAGAGAGGUGCUUGCAUCUCUUGAGAGCGGCGGACGGGUGAGUAAUGCCUAGGAAUCUGCCUAGUGGUGGGGGAUAACGUUCGGAAACGGACGCUAAUACCGCAUACGUCCUACGGGAGAAAGCGGGGGAUCUUCGGACCUCGCGCCAUUAGAUGAGCCUAGGUCGGAUUAGCUAGUUGGUGAGGUAAUGGCUCACCAAGGCGACGAUCCGUAACUGGUCUGAGAGGAUGAUCAGUCACACUGGAACUGAGACACGGUCCAGACUCCUACGGGAGGCAGCAGUGGGGAAUAUUGGACAAUGGGCGAAAGCCUGAUCCAGCCAUGCCGCGUGUGUGAAGAAGGUCUUCGGAUUGUAAACUGCUUUGUACGGAACGAAACGGUGAGCUCUAAUACAGUUUGCUAAUGACGGUACCGUAAGAAUAAGCACCGGCUAACUACGUGCCAG